CUGCUGCCUCCCGUAGGAGUUUGGGCCGUGUCUCAGUCCCAAUGUGGCCGGUCACCCUCUCAGGUCGGCUACUGAUCGUCGCUUUGGUGGGCCGUUACCCCGCCAACUGGCUAAUCAGACGCGGGUCCAUCUUAUACCACCGGAGUUUUUCACACACUACCAUGCGGUACUGUGCGCUUAUGCGGUAUUAGCAGUCAUUUUUAACUGUUAUCCCCCUGUAUAAGGCAGGUUACCCACGCGUUACUCACCCGUCCGCCGCUCAGU
rnacentral:rRNA from 1 species